rnacentral:rRNA from 1 species
UACGUAGGGAGCAAGCGUUGUCCGGAUUCACUGGGUUUAAAGGGUGCGUAGGUGGGCAAGUAAGUCAGUGGUGAAAUCUCCGGGCUUAACCCGGAAACUGCCAUUGAUACUAUUUGUCUUGAAUACUGUGGAGGUCAGCGGAAUAUGUCAUGUAGCGGUGAAAUGCUUAGAUAUGACAUAGAACACCAAUUGCGAAGGCAGCUGGCUACACAAAUAUUGACACUGAGGCACGAAAGCGUGGGGAUCAAACAGG